rnacentral:rRNA from 1 species
UUUUCGCCUGAAAACUACUAGCCACAGCUUAAAACUCAAAGGACUUGGGGGGGCUUUAUACCCACCUAGAGGAGCCUGUUCUAUAAUCGAUAAACCCCGAUACACCUCACCACUUCUUGCUAAUACAGCCUAUAUACCGCCAUCUUCAGCAAACA